rnacentral:rRNA from 2 species
GGUUAAGCGACUAAGCGUACACGGUGGAUGCCCUGGCAGUCAGAGGCGAUGAAGGGCGUGCUAAUCUGCGAUAAGCGCCGGUAAGGUGAUAUGAACCGUUAUAACCGGCGAUACCCGAAUGGGGAAACCCAGUGUGAUUCGUCACACUAUCAUUAACUGAAUCCAUAGGUUAAUGAGGCGAACCGGGGGAACUGAAACAUCUAAGUACCCCGAGGAAAAGAAAUCAACCGAGAUUCCCCCAGUAGCGGCGAGCGAACGGGGAGGAGCCCAGAGCCUGAAUCAGCAUGUGUGUUAGUGGAAGCGUCUGGAAAGUCGCGCGAUACAGGGUGACAGCCCCGUACACAAAAGCGCAUGUGUUGUGAGCUCGAUGAGUAGGGCGGGACACGUGGUAUCCUGUCUGAAUAUGGGGGGACCAUCCUCCAAGGCUAAAUACUCCUGACUGACCGAUAGUGAACCAGUACCGUGAGGGAAAGGCGAAAAGAACCCCGGCGAGGGGAGUGAAAAAGAACCUGAAACCGUGUACGUACAAGCAGUGGGAGCACCCUUUUGGGUGUGACUGCGUACCUUUUGUAUAAUGGGUCAGCGACUUAUAUUCUGUAGCAAGGUUAACCG